rnacentral:rRNA from 1 species
UACGGGGGGAGCAAGCGUUGUUCGGAUUUACUGGGCGUAAAGCGCACGUAGGCGGGUUGUUAAGUCAGGGGUGAAAUCCUGGAGCUCAACUCCAGAACUGCCUUUGAUACUGGCAACCUAGAGGCUGGAAGAGGUUAGUGGAAUUCCCAGUGUAGAGGUGAAAUUCGUAGAUAUUGGGAAGAACACCGGUGGCGAAGGCGGCUCACUGGCUCAUUUCUGACGCUCAGGCGCGACAGCGUGGGGAUCAAACAGG